GUCUACAGCCAUACCUCCCUGAAUGCUCCCCACCUCAUCUGAUCUCAGCAGCUAGGCAGGUUCCAGCCAGGUUAGAACUUGGAAGGAAGACA
rnacentral:rRNA from 1 species